rnacentral:rRNA from 1 species
GGUCAAGUGAAGAAGCGCAUACGGUGGAUGCCUUGGCAGUCAGAGGCGAUGAAAGACGUGGUAGCCUGCGAAAAGCUUCGGGGAGUCGGCAAACAGACUUUGAUCCGGAGAUCUCUGAAUGGGGGAACCCACCUAGGAUAACCUAGGUAUCUUGUACUGAAUCCAUAGGUGCAAGAGGCGAACCAGGGGAACUGAAACAUCUAAGUACCCUGAGGAAAAGAAAUCAACCGAGAUUCCCUUAGUAGUGGCGAGCGAACGGGGAUUAGCCCUUAAGCUUCAUUGAUUUUAGCGGAACGCUCUGGAAAGUGCGGCCAUAGUGGGUGAUAGCCCCGUACGCGAAAGGAUCUUUGAAGUGAAAUCGAGUAGGACGGAGCACGAGAAACUUUGUCUGAACAUGGGGGGACCAUCCUCCAAGGCUAAAUACUACUGACUGACCGAUAGUG